rnacentral:rRNA from 1 species
AUUGAACGCUGGCGGCAUGCCUUACACAUGCAAGUCGAACGGUAACGCGGGGCAACCUGGCGACGAGUGGCGAACGGGUGAGUAAUAUAUCGGAACGUGCCCAGUAGUGGGGGAUAGCCCGGCGAAAGCCGGAUUAAUACCGCAUACGACCUACGGGUGAAGGGGGGGAUCGCAGGACCUCUCGAUAUUGGAGCGGCCGAUAUCAUAUGAUGUAGUUGGUGGGGUAAAAGCCCACCAAGCCAACGAUCUGUAGCUGGUCUGAGAGGACGACCAGCCACACUGGGACUGAGACACGGCCCAGACUCCUACGGGAGGCAGCAGUGGGGAACUUUGGACAAUGGGCGAAAGCCUGAUCCAGCCAUGCCGCGUGCGGGAAGAAGGCCUUCGGGUUGUAAACCGCUUUUGUCAGGGAAGAAAUCCUUUGAGCUAAUACCUCGGGGGGAUGACGGUACCUGAAGAAUAAGCACCGGCUAACUACGUGCCAGCCGCCGCAGUAAUAC